rnacentral:tRNA from 1 species
UAUAUUUUGGUGUAGGAUGCACAAAAAUUUUUGAUAUUUUUAGUAAUAGUUUAAUUCUAUUAAAUAUAA